rnacentral:lncRNA from 1 species
CAGAACUGGGCAUGGAUGGGUGAUCCACACAGCACUGCAGCCAGACUCAGUCACAGUCUGGACCUGGAUCCUGCCUGCAUCCCCAUCCGUGCUGACCAAGAAGCGCCCAUCUGGUGAGACGUGCGGCGUGCCCAGCACAGCGCCAUUGCUGCCAAUGACGGUGUCGGUGACGCUGUCGAUGAGGAGCUGUGGGGCUGCAGCCCCCCGCCGGUCCCUGCACUGCACCAGGAAGUACCCCCCCAGGUUGGGGGUGGAGAGCAGCUCCGACCAAUGCAUGUAAUUGCUGUGUGACUCAACGUGCCCAACCCUGCGUCCUAAACUGGAGCAUCAGAGGGCAGAACAGACCGUCCCUCCCAGCAGCCUGGAAGGUGGGGAACGUUCUCAGCGAGCAGCAUGAGCAAAGCUUUCAGAUGCACUGAACAAACUACCUUCCCUGUUAUGGAUUUGCAUUUUACUCUGAGGAGAAUGCCAUUGUGCCAUCACCACUGGAAAAGAAUAAAAGGAAGCUGAAGGCUUGUGAGAGGGAAGCAACAGAAUAAACAGUUUAAGGAAAACAAGAAACAACAUUAAAGGCUGUUAAUUACUCCCAAGCAGUCCACCAUGCUCAGCAAGGGAAGGACUCACCUGCAGCGUUGGCGAUGACCGCCGCAUAUCACCCCAGCUCAGCACCCACACCUGGUCAUGGGAUUUGUCGUAAUGCAGUUUGGUUGGCAAUGGGUCCACAUCCACAGACUUGGAAAAAGAAAAAAAGGAG